rnacentral:rRNA from 1 species
GUUAACCUACAGGAGGCAGCAGUAGGGAAUUUUCGUCAAUGGGCGCAAGCCUGAACGAGCAAUGCCGCGUGAACGAGGAAGGUCUUCGGAUCGUAAAGUUCUGUUGAAGGGGAAAAAGAGCGGAGAGAGGAAAUGAACUCCGAUUGAUAUUACCCUUCGAGGAAGUCACGGCUACCUACGUGCCAGCAGCCGCGGUAAUACGUAGGUGGCGAGCGUUAUCCGGGAUGAUUGGGCGUAAAGGGUGCGUAGGCGGCCUGCUAAGUCUGGAGUGAAAGGUACCGGCUCAACCGGUACAGGCUCUGGAA